GGGGAUGUAGCUCAAUGGUAGAGCAUAUGCUUUGCAGGCAUAAGGUCCCAGGUUCGAUCCCUGGCAUCUCCA